rnacentral:lncRNA from 1 species
CGGAGUUUGUGGCCAAUGCCAAUGCAUAGGGUAACAAUCAGAGACGCAAGGGGAGGGCGUGUCACGCCCAAGAUGCGACCCUAUCCUAAAGGAACUCGAAGGUCCCACCAAGGAUAGAAGCGCAUCUUGAAGACGCUUUUGCAAGGUGGAUAUCAUUACAUCAACAUUACAUAAAUAGUUGGGGAUACAUACAUAAGGCACAAACGCCCCAAAGAAUACAUCAACAUCAUACUUGAGAACAACAUCCGACUACAGAUGGAACAUAAACAGAAACUCAAACAAUAUCCACCCUGCUAGCCCAGGCUGCCGACCUAGAACCUAUCCCCUGAUCGAAGAAGAAGCAGAAGAAGAACUCCAAAACAAGUAAACAUCGCUCUUGCGUCAUGAUCAUCGCAUAACCUGUACCUGCAACUGUGUUGUAGUAAUCUGUGAGCCACGAGGACUCAGCAAACCCAUUACCAUGGGUAUCAAGACUAGCAAAGCUUAAUGGGUAGGAAAGGGGUAAAGUGGUGAGGUUGCAGCAGCGACUAAGCAUGUAUGGUGGCUAACUUACGCAAAUAAGAGCGAGAAGAGAAGCAAAGCAAGCGGUCGUCAACUAGUAAUGAUCAAGAAGUGAUCCUGAACUCCUACUUACGUCAAACAUAACCCAAACACCGUGUUCUCCUCUCGAACAACCCCGAAAAGAGACAAUCACGGUUACGCACACGGUUGGUGUAUUUUAGAAGAGUUUACUUCAAGUUUACUACAACCGGAUAUUAACAAAUUCCCAUCUGCCACAUAACCGCGGGCACGGCUUUCGAAAGUUCAAACCCUACAGGGGUGUCCCAACUUAGCCCAUUAUAAGCUCUCACGAUCAACGAAGGAUAUUCCUUCUCCCGGGAAGAACCGAUCAGACUCGGAAUCCCGGUUACAAGACAUUUCGACAAUGGUAAAACAAGACCAGCAAGACCUCCCGGCGUGCCGACACCCUGAUAGUAGCCGCGCGUAUCUCGUCUCAGGCCACGACCGGAUAAGCGAAGCGUACAGGUACCAACAUAACCCAAGUUGCCAAGGGACGGUCCCGCACGGUGCUCUAGUUUGUACCAACACUUAGACAAGCUUUGGCCCGGGGGGGGGGGGGCUAAAUAAAGAUGACCCUCGGGUUAAUUACUCCCAAGGGAAAAGGUAAUAGGUGGUGGCAAAUGGUAAAACCAAUGUUUGGCCUUGCUGGAGGAGUUUUAUUCAAAGCGAACUGUCAAGGGGGUCCCAUAAAUCACCCAACCGCGUUAGGGACGUAAAAUCCGGGAACAUAAUAUCGAUAUGACGGAAACUAGGGCGGCAAGAGUGGAACAAAACACCAGGCAUAAGGCCGAGCCUUCCACCCUUUACCAAGUAUAUAGAUGCAUUAAUAAUAUAGGAGAUAUUGUGAUAUCCCAACAUAAACAUAAACCAACAUGGAGCAAUCUUCAUCUUCACCUGCAACUAGCAACGCUAUAAGAGGGGCUGAGAAAAAGCGGUAACAUAGCCAAACAAUGGUUUGCUAGGAAGGGUGACAAAGGUUAGAGGUUCAUGGCAAUUUGGGAGGCUUGAUAAGAAAGUGGUGGGUAAUGCGGCAUUGCGAUAGAACGAAGCAACUAGCAUAGCAAUGAUAGUAAUGAGAUCCAAGGUGACGGUCAUCUUGCCUGAAAUCCCGCAAGGAAGAAGAACGAGUCCAUGAAGAAGAUGAAGCCACGAAGACGAACCAAGCGUAGUCGAACGAAUCCUCACGAUCGCAACAAAACGGGAACUAUCGAGAAGAAGCACAACCGGAAAGAGGCAAACAACAUAGUAAACACACAGACAUGAUGCACAAACAAGCAUGAUGCAUGUCCGGUUUAAUGAGUCAUGGCAUGGCAAAGUGCAACAAACAAUACUACAAAUUAAGUGGAGCUCAAUAUGCAACGAGUUGCAUAUUGACGAAACACCACAUCCAAUUAUUUAACUCACUCCCGUUUAUGCUACCCAAUAGUAUUAAAUGUUGAUUAACAUGGCAAGAGGUGAAGCAUAAUAAAACUAUGUUCUAGGCAAGUUUAAAUGAGGCCGGAAAAACAAACAACAAUUCCGGAAAAUCCUCAUAUGCAUAUUUCGAAUUUGGUACUGUUCUGCCCUAUACACAAUUUUAAAGUUGUUAAACAGCAAAAUAAAGUGCAGCAAGUUAAUCCAUGCAUUCUUCUACCCCAUUUACAUAUAAAGAACGUUUAAUUCCGAGCUACGGUUAUUUAGUUAUGAGAUAAACCAUUUAACAUGGCAUGUAUGCAAAAAUAAAGCAAACAGCAAGUUUAAGCAUUUUAAACAUGGAUGAAAAUGGCAUAAAGUGAAACUAGAUGAAAUUCUAAGCAUUUUACUUAUAUAAUUUGUUUAAAUCCAAAGCAUGGUUAUUUAAAUAUGAGCAAUGCAAGAUGAUGGCAUUUCAGUAAAUAAGAAUGCAUUGGAAAAUGCUAAAAUACACAGACUGGAAAAAAAUAUGCACGGGCCCGAAGCAUUACGGUGCAGCGGCCCAGAUGAGGAUUCGACCCAUGUGGUUGUGGUGUGUGCAAAAGAAAAAAAGAACAGAGCAAAAACAGGGGCGCCUGGGAAUCGAACCCCAGACCUCCUGGUUGGAUACUGGUUGCGCUAGCAACAGGGCUAGGUAUGAGUUCCUGAUAAAACGAGCUCCCAGGCUCUUUUGAGCUAUUCAGGAAUAGGUCGAGCUUGGCCAUGGCUGCACGGCGACAACCGACGGCGAGGGCAAGCAAAAGUGACGGCCGUUGGGGUUAUGAACCUACGGCGGGCGUGCGAAAACAGAAGACGGUGCACGCGUGCUUGCGGAGAGCUGCGAGAGGGGCCGGAGCAUAAGCCUCGAGCAGAAGCUCGUCCCGGCCGAGGCACGACGUGCGACUAGGCGGCAGCUGCUGGGCGUGAGCGAAGAAAAACUGGCAAGGACGCGAGCAUGGCGCGGGUGCGGAGAAAGGAGGGGGUGCACUGCAAGGUGCGCGCGUGCAUGCGGGGCUUCUACGAGUGUUGGUGAUGCGUGUGGACUUGCUGAAGACGCAUGCAUUGGGUCUUAACCAAGCGGAGCAAGACAGAGAGACAAGGCCGGGCUUGCAGGUCGAAGCGCUCGGCCACGGCGGGGCGUGCAGGCAUGCAGCGGGGCGUGCGUGCAGCACUUGAGGCAAGGCUGCAGCGAGGCUACGAGGUGAAGCGAAGCAGGGGACCGAGCGAGGUGAGCGGGGACAAGAUCCGAUGGGGCACGACAGCGUUUCUCUGAAAGUUUCAGAGAUUCGCCGGAGCAGCGAGGGCACGACGAUGGCAUGGAUCUAGUAGUGACUCCGAUGACCUAAACGCGACAGGAAGAAGAGGGAGGGAAGCAGGUAUACCUAGAUCACCCUAGGACACGCAGACGGCCACGGAGACGAACCAGCGGCGACGCGGACGAGCUCUGAACCCGACGCGGUUCCUGUCCGAGGAAGAAGGAAGCAGGGGAGGACGCCAGGCGCGGGACUUGGCGACGCAGAGGAAGCAGACGAAGUAGAGGAAGAAGAUCGCGGCGCCCUUGGACCCUUCUUGCUCCUGGCCUUGCUUGAAGUUGAAGAAGACGACGAGCAGGCCUCACAAACGACGGCGGAACGCGCUCGGUGGUUCUCUGCUCCUCUAUUUCCUUAGGAAGAAGGAGAAACCGAGG